rnacentral:rRNA from 1 species
CUUUCUGCAAGGUGCUGCAUGGUUGUCGUCAGCUCGUGCCGUGAGGUGUCGGGUUAAGUCCCAUAACGAGCGCAACCCUUAUCGUUAGUUGCCAUCUGGUAAUGCAGGGGACUCUAGCGAAACUGCCACCGUAAGGUGAGAGGAAGGUGGGGAUGACGUCAAAUCAGCACGGCCCUUAUGUCCAGGGCUACACACGUGUUACAAUGGUCGGUACAGAGGGCAGCUACCUGGUGACAGGAUGCUAAUCUCGAAAACCGGUCUCAGUUCGGAUCGAAGUCUGCAACUCGACUUCGUGAAGCUGGAUUCGCUAGUAAUCGCGCAUCAGCUAUGGCGCGGUGAAUACGUUCCCGGGCCUU